CGCGGCCUAUCAGCUUGUUGGUGGGGUAACGGCUCACCAAGGCAUCGACGGGUAGCUGGUCUGAGAGGACGAUCAGCCACACUGGGACUGAGACACGGCCCAGACUCCUGCGGGAGGCAGCAGUGGGGAAUCUUGCGCAAUGGGCGAAAGCCUGACGCAGCAACGCCGCGUGGGGGGUGAAGGCUCUCGGGUUGUAAACCCCUUUCAGCAGGGACGAAAUUGACGGUACCUGCAGAAGAAGCCCCGGCCAACUACGUGCCAGCAGCCGCGGUGACACGUAGGGGGCGAGCGUUGUCCGGAAUUAUUGGGCGUAAAGAGCUCGUAGGCGGUUUGGUAAGUCAGAUGUGAAAGGUUGGGGCUCAACCCUAAGACUGCAUCCGAUACUGCUAUGACUAGAGUCCGGUAGAGGAGUGUGGAAUUCCUGGUGUAGCGGUGAAAUGCGCAGAUAUCAGGAGGAACACCGACGGCGAAGGCAGCACUCUGGGCCGGUACUGACGCUCAGGAGCGAAAGCGUGGGUAGCAAACAGGAUUAGAUACCCUGGUAGUCCACGCCGUAAACGUUGGGCACUAGGUGUGGGGCCUUAUCAACGGGUUCCGUGCCGUAGCUAACGCAUUAAGUGCCCCGCCUGGGGAGUACGG
rnacentral:rRNA from 1 species